UUGCUUGCUCUGGCAGCACAUACACUAAAAUUGGAACAAUACAGAGAAGAUCGGCAUGAUUUCUGCAUAAGGAUGACACAAAAAUUUGUAAACUUUCAUAUUUUUUA
ensembl:snRNA U6 U6 spliceosomal RNA